rnacentral:rRNA from 1 species
UAUUAUUCCAUGAUAAAAUUUAUAUCCUUAGUUAGUAAUAGUUAUUUACUUAAAAUCUAAAAAAUUUGGCGGUAAUUUAAUCUUUUCAGAGGAACCUGUUUUUUGAUCGAUAAUCCACGAAAUAUCUUGCUUAUUUUAAUAGAGUUUGUAUACCGUCAUUAUCAGGUAAUUUUUAAAAAAUUAAUUACUAAAAAAAAUAAUUUAGAUAAAUUAGAUCAUGGUGCAGCUUAUAAAAAAGUUAAAAUGGGUUACAAUAAAUUAUUAUUAUACGGAUAAAUAAAAUAAUAUUUUUUUAGAAGGAGGAUUUGAUUGUAUUUUAAAUUUAAUAUGUUUAAAAGAUAAUAGCUCUAAAUUAUGUACAUAU